UCCUCUAUGGUGUAGGCGGUUAGCAUACUCGGCUCUCACCCGGGUGACCAGGGUUCGAGUCCCUGUGGAGGAA
rnacentral:tRNA from 1 species